GACAUAGGUUGCAAACGUUAUCCGGAAUUAUUGGGCGUAAAGGAUGCGUAGAUGGUUCAGUAAGUUACUGGUGGGAAAUCGAGGCCCAACCUCGUGGAAGUUAGUAAUACUGUUGAACUUGAGUGCAGGAGAGGUUAACGGAACUUCAUGUGGAGCGGUAAAAUGCGUAGAUAUAUGAAAGAACAUCAAUAUGGCGAAGGCAGUUAACUAUUCUGCUACUGACAUUGAGGCAUGAAAGCGUGGGGAGCAAAACGG
rnacentral:rRNA from 1 species